GAACUUUCCCCUGCCAUCUGUACCCAGAAGACAUUGCUUCGCUACACAGCAGUUGUCGGAGGCCACAGGAAGCCGAGGACCCGGGCGGUGGCCCCAGAUGGCUGACAGCUUCAGGAGGCAGGCUGCAGGAUGGCAGAGGAUCUUUACAUCUAAAGGGCCACUCUCCAUGGCCCUGUCCUUGGCCAGCUCCUUGUGACACUGCAACUCCGGGCAAUGUUUCCUGACCCUGCAGCCAUUUUGGUGGAAUUGUCAGCAGAGCCUGAGGUACAAGGCUCUGCCAAUGCUGAAGAUGAAGAGGAUGCUGAAGAUGAAGAGGAUGCUGAAGAUGAAGAGCGAACUGCAGAAAUGGCUGCAGACUGCUAAGCUGUAGUUCCUCGCUCUCCUGUUCAUCUGUGCACGUAGGCUGUCAGCGACAGGGGACUGGUGGCAGCUGAAGAAACACGUUCUGACAAAUGUUCAUCGGGGAGAGCAAAGCAAAAUGGUCAGGAGGGAGGAGAGAAGCGGCCAUGUGGAGCGGGAAGCAAGGACGUGAACUGGUGAAGCGGCUGCCCUUCCUCAAGCUCUGCCGUCAGCUUGAUACCUGAGAAAAUAAAUGGAGGAAAUCUUA
ensembl:lincRNA Gm12973 predicted gene 12973